GUAAAAAAAUUAUGCGAUGAAGCUCUAUACAGCAUUACAUAACAUUGAUUGUUUUGUUUGGAAAUGUGUUAUGUACCACUGCUCUCUGUGUGUAGCAGAUGAGGCAAUUUGAACUUGGCCUUGUGAUGGCAUGCCUCAAAAAUUCCUGUCCCAGAUUAUGAUCCUGAACCCCUUGGCACUGAGUAUCUAAGAAACACUGUAAAUCUUUCCUUGGACAAUCAAAAGCUACAAAAAUGUCCAAACCUGAGGGUCCACAGAAGCUCCGCUCAAUUCUCUGUUAUUGCACCGAGGAUGCUUCUGAGAACUUUCCUGCCUGUCAAUAUUUUUAAAACGUCCCACAAACUCAGCAUGACACGAGAAGCCAAGAAAAAGUGCAGAAAGGGAGGAGAACGGAGGGAGGAGCACUGAUGCAUCCAAGAGAGAGGAAUGAAUCAAAACAAGGGACUAAAGGCAAGAAAAUAAGGUUUACAAAAAAGACCAGAGUGGGCUGACUGGAGAAAGGAAAUUACACAAGAGGAAGAGAAAAAGAGAGAUUAAAAGAUAAAAGCAAAGAGUUGUGUGCAGAUACUUCCCAGACAAUUUGAUAAAUGUAAAAUGGCUGCUCAGGGAAACUGGAAAUGUUUACUGCUAAAGGGAUAGUUCACCCAAAAAUUAAAAAUUGUCAUCAUUUACCCACUUCAA